rnacentral:rRNA from 1 species
GCCGAACGCUGGCGGCGUGCCUAAUACAUGCAAGUCGAACGCAGUGGGGACGGGGGAGUAACACGUGGGUAACCUCCCAUCAGAGGGGAUAACACUUGGAAACAGGUGCUAAACCGAUACUGAUGGAUGGACCCGCGGUGCCUUAGCUAGUUGGUGAGGUAACGGCUCACCAAGGCCACGAUGGAUCGCCGUCCGGAGAGGGUGAUCUGCCACAUUGGGACUGAGAGACGGCCCAGUUUCCUACGGGAGGCAGCAGUAGGUAAUCUUCGGCAAUGGACGAAAGUCUGACCGAGCAGUGCCGCGUGAUUGAAGAAGGUUUUCGGAUCGUAAAUCUCUGUUGUUAGAGAAGCGGUAUCUAACCAGAAAGCCACGGCUAACUACGUGCCAGCAGCCGCGGUAAUUC